CAGUCGCCGCGGGAAUACGGAGGGGGCUAGCGUUGUUCGGAAUUACUGGGCGUAAAGCGCACGUAGGCGGCUUUGUAAGUUAGAGGUGAAAGCCCGGAGCUCAACUCCGGAAUUGCCUUUAAGACUGCAGAGCUAGCAGGUGAGAGAGGUGAGUGGAAUUCCGAGUGUAAAGGUGAAAUUCGUAGAUAUUCGGAAGAACACCAGUGGCGAAGGCGGCUCACUGGCUCAUACUGGACGCUGAGGUGCGAAAGCGUGGGGAACAAACAGGAUUAGAUACCCAGUAGUCCCUGUCUCUUAUACC
rnacentral:rRNA from 1 species